CUCACACCUGUAAAAUUAAAAUGUCCAUCGUUGUCGAUUUGAAAUGUUGGGAGGUAUGUGCUGUACCCAAACUGUCUAAAAAUAAAUUAUAUAUAGUUAAGCAGAUAUACCCCCAUAGGGGAGACAAGCCUGAACACCUAUUAUAUUUGUGAGUAAAUCUUUAAUCGCUCUUCCCCAUUUAUAUGUUUUGUAUUGUAUUACAUUAUUUGCAGUUUAUUUAGCAACUUAGAAUGUGACGGCAGAUAAGAACCGUUCAGCCCAUCUAGU